AACAUGGCCUUUUGAAAAUGAUUUAAGGUCCGGCCUGCCCAAUGAUGAAUUCAAUGGCUGCAGUAUUUUGACUGUACAAAGGUAGCAUAAUCAUUAGUUUUUUAAUUGAAAGCUUGUAUGAAUGGUUUAAUGAGAAAAUAACUGUCUUUAUUUAAUUUUUUAUAGAAUUUUAUUAUUGAGUUAAAAAGCUUAAAUGGAUUUGAAAGACGAGAAGACCCUAUAGAGUUUUAUGAUUAAUUAAUUUCUAGAUUUUAAUAAUCUUAUUUCUUUGUAUUUAAUAAAUUAUUUAGUUGGGGUGACUUGAAAAUUUAAAUAACUUUUUAUUCUUUAAAACAUUUAUUUAUGAAUAAUUGAUCCAUGUUUGUUGUGAUUAAAAGAUUAAAUUACCUUAGGGAUAACAGCGUAAUUUUUUUAGAGAGCUCUAAUCGAUAAAAAAGUUUGCGACCUCGAUGUUGGAUUAAAAUAAACUAUUGGCGCAGUAGUUGAUGGGUUUGGUCUGUUCGACCUUUAAAAUUUUACAUGAUCUGAGUUAAACCGGUGUGAGCCAGG
rnacentral:rRNA from 1 species